rnacentral:rRNA from 1 species
AUUACAGGCGACGAAGGACGUGAUAGCCUGCGAUAAGCUUCGGGGAGCUGGCAAAUUAGCUUUGAUCCGGAGAUUUCCGAAUGGGGAAACCCACCCUUAGGGGUAUCGCAUGACGAAUACAUAGUCAGGCGAAGCAAACCGGGCGAACUGAAACAUCUCAGUAGCUCGAGGAAAAGACAUCAACCGAGAUUCCGAAAGUAGUGGCGAGCGAAAUCGGAUCAGCCUUGUACGUUUUAGCGCUUUAUAUAUCAGAACGGAAUGGAAAGUCCGGCCAUAGCGGGUGAUAGCCCCGUAUGAAAAAUGUGAGGCGUGGAACUAGGCGUACGACAAGUAGGGCGGGACACGUGUAAUCCUGUCUGAAUAUGGGGGGACCAUCCUCCAAGGCUAAAUACUCGUAAUCGACCGAUAGUGAACUAGU